UUAAAUUGAAGAGUUUGAUCAUGGCUCAGAUUGAACGCUGGCGGCAGGCCUAACACAUGCAAGUCGAACGGUAACAGGAAACAGCUUGCUGCUUCGCUGACGAGUGGCGGACGGGUGAGUAAUGUCUGGGAAACUGCCUGAUGGAGGGGGAUAACUACUGGAAACGGUAGCUAAUACCGCAUAACGUCGCAAGACCAAAGAGGGGGACCUUCGGGCCUCUUGCCAUCGGAUGUGCCCAGAUGGGAUUAGCUAGUAGGUGGGGUAACGGCUCACCUAGGCGACGAUCCCUAGCUGGUCUGAGAGGAUGACCAGCCACACUGGAACUGAGACACGGUCCAGACUCCUACGGGAGGCAGCAGUGGGGAAUAUUGCACAAUGGGCGCAAGCCUGAUGCAGCCAUGCCGCGUGUAUGAAGAAGGCCUUCGGGUUGUAAAGUACUUUCAGCGGGGAGGAAGGGAGUAAAGUUAAUACCUUUGCUCAUUGACGUUACCCGCAGAAGAAGCACCGGCUAACUCCGUGCCAGCAGCCGCGGUAAUACGGAGGGUGCAAGCGUUAAUCGGAAUUACUGGGCGUAAAGCGCACGCAGGCGGUUUGUUAAGUCAGAUGUGAAAUCCCCGGGCUCAACCUGGGAACUGCAUCUGAUACUGGCAAGCUUGAGUCUCGUAGAGGGGGGUAGAAUUCCAGGUGUAGCGGUGAAAUGCGUAGAGAUCUGGAGGAAUACCGGUGGCGAAGGCGGCCCCCUGGACGAAGACUGACGCUCAGGUGCGAAAGCGUGGGGAGCAAACAGGAUUAGAUACCCUGGUAGUCCACGCCGUAAACGAUGUCGACUUGGAGGUUGUGCCCUUGAGGCGUGGCUUCCGGAGCUAACGCGUUAAGUCGACCGCCUGGGGAGUACGGCCGCAAGGUUAAAACUCAAAUGAAUUGACGGGGGCCCGCACAAGCGGUGGAGCAUGUGGUUUAAUUCGAUGCAACGCGAAGAACCUUACCUGGUCUUGACAUCCACGGAAGUUUUCAGAGAUGAGAAUGUGCCUUCGGGAACCGUGAGACAGGUGCUGCAUGGCUGUCGUCAGCUCGUGUUGUGAAAUGUUGGGUUAAGUCCCGCAACGAGCGCAACCCUUAUCCUUUGUUGCCAGCGGUCCGGCCGGGAACUCAAAGGAGACUGCCAGUGAUAAACUGGAGGAAGGUGGGGAUGACGUCAAGUCAUCAUGGCCCUUACGACCAGGGCUACACACGUGCUACAAUGGCGCAUACAAAGAGAAGCGACCUCGCGAGAGCAAGCGGACCUCAUAAAGUGCGUCGUAGUCCGGAUUGGAGUCUGCAACUCGACUCCAUGAAGUCGGAAUCGCUAGUAAUCGUGGAUCAGAAUGCCACGGUGAAUACGUUCCCGGGCCUUGUACACACCGCCCGUCACACCAUGGGAGUGGGUUGCAAAAGAAGUAGGUAGCUUAACCUUCGGGAGGGCGCUUACCACUUUGUGAUUCAUGACUGGGGUGAAGUCGUAACAAGGUAACCGUAGGGGAACCUGCGGUUGGAUCACCUCCUUACCUUAAAGAAGC
rnacentral:rRNA from 1 species